AUGGUGGCGCGUCGUUCAGAAAGAUAACAUCCACGGAAGCCACUAUAGUGGCGCGUCGUGCCUAAAAGGUUAAGCUUUCUGCCACCACAGCUAAUUAGCGUUAUACGGGCCACGGAACGGAGCUUCGAGAUUUUGCCAUAAGAGCCGCCACUUGUCAGUAAUUACGCUAUUUUUCAAACAUUUAAAUUAGAUUUUAUGACAUUAGAGUGUUACGGCAGAAAAAAUUCGUUAAUUAUAUCGUUCAUUCUGCUUUUCGUUCUUGACCGACAUCUUCUGCGAAUUUUCUUCGGUGAUUACCGGUUUAGUGACUACCGAUUUUGCAACCGACUUUAGCUGAUUCUUGUAAUGUAUAUCUUGCGCUCGAUCUUUGUAUUUAUCCUUGAUGUCUGGCCACAGCCUCUGCAAUAGAGCUAGGGCAUUAAAAUUGUUCGAUAAAUGAAUUCGUGUGAAGUUUUCUUGUCAUCGUAAACUUUAAGAAUCUUGUCUACUUUAAUUGUAAAAGCUGCGCAAGUGUUUCACACGCAGGAAGAUACUAUAGAAAAUCUGUUCCAGGUGAAUAUAAUUUGAGGUGUGAACGAAAGACGUACUCCUUUAUUGAUCGAUACGAAGAUCCCUUCGCACACUUCAUCGAAGACUCUUUCAAAGAAUAUAGAGGAAAUGACCAUGGUGAGAACAUAAGUGGACGUUCGCUUGAAAAUAUAUCGGUAGAGAAACUUCGAAGCCAUCGUUAGGCCACGAUCACUUUUACCGACACAAAGUUAUCUACAAAAAUUCGAUCCUUCAAUAACCCGAACAAAAUUACUUCGUACCUCUUCAAGUUCAUGUCAAUAGACUCUCCUCCUUAGCGUCACGCAUCACUUGUCCAUAUAACGUCUAUUACUCUCGAGCGUUUGGCGAGACGAUAAAGGGUUUAUACAAUAAAAUGUUCUUUUACAAUGUAAUAUUCUUUCAAUAAUAUACUUCGUAAAAAAUUAUAUGUACAUACUGAUAGAAAUAAUAAUGAUAUAUAUAUUAUACACUAAUAAAGGAUUCCGAAAACA